rnacentral:lncRNA from 1 species
ACCCCCAACAACUUGUCUAAAUGGUUAUCUAAAGAUAGCUAUCUUCUAUUCUAGAUUUUUCGCUAGCCAAAAGUAGAAGACGAAGAUGACUCUCUAGAGUGUGCACGAGAUAUAGAAAAACUAUUAGAGAGUGAAAAAUAUAGAAAACGAUUUUUAUUCAAAUGGACCCUCUAAAUAAUUAUUGAAAGAGUGAAACUUAAAAACGCUCUUAGAGAUGCUCAAAAACCCCUGUAGUCCCGAUUUCCCAACUAGGACAACCAAUCCAGGACUAAAGGCCCCUCUUCUAGUCCCGGUGCCUAAAGUGGGGCCGGUUGGUAAUAUCAACUGAGAGUAAAGGCGAUUAUAGCCCAGGCCCUAGGCACCAGUCCUGAUUGGUUAUUUCAACUGGGACUGAAUGACUCUUUCUUUCCUUUUCUUUUUUCUUCUCUUUUUCUUUUCUUUUUAUUUCCUUUAUGUGCGUACAUAUUAAGAGUGAAACUAAUUAAGUAUGAUGUUGUAUAUUACAAUGAUCAUUCAUCCAACAAUCAAAUUUCAUAGAAACAAUAAUAAAUCUAAACCAAGUCAUUACACACUUCAUGGCCAAGUACUCCACGAAGUUCAUGCAAACAUAUAAUAUAUGUCACCACUGCUACCUAAGGACCUUCACUUUCUAGCAUUAUGAACUCGGUGUAGCGUAGGUCACCGAUGCGAUAAUGAUUAUUGAGGAAGACCAACGCACUAACUAAUGCACUCUCCUUUGCUUCACCAACGAGCACAGGGUCUACUAACGACCUUCAACCUUGCUUCAUAAGUCAGUGGGUCUCCGCUCUUAGUCGCAACCAACUUUUCCUGAUAUCCUUCCGUGGUGAGUGUUGGCCUUUCAUGAGCAUAUUUCCAAUCAUAACCCAAGCGAUGCAUCAUUAUCUGGUUUAGAAUGGCUUCAAAACUACACCCUUUAAAGGUUAAGUCAUACUCCUCAAUCUACAAGUGUUGACAGAAAAAAGGUUAUGAGAACCAAGCUUUGCAACAUAUGACAAAAUCUAGAUAUAAGCUAUGAGAUUGACUUAGACUUUACCACAUCAUUUCGGUUGUUUCUGAGCAAUGGUUGCACACAAGCCCUCAACAUCACGAAACAUAUCUUUGUAGCUUGCAUGAGCACGAAAGAUAGUGUAGGAACAAGUUUUAAUUACAAAUAAGCAUG